ACCCUAAUGUUCAUAAAAUCCAUCAAUUGAAGGUGCAAAUCGAGUCCGAAUUGAAAUCUGAAUAUAGAUUUGUGAUCACCUUGACUAAGGGAUCGUAAGUUCAUGAUCACCAUUAGAGGCAACACGAGCGAGGCGUCGGGAAGUCAAGCCGGUGCGGACGCUCGCCAAAAGGGAAAGCUCUAAGCUUUCAAGUAAGUCAAUCAAGCGGAUGGUGAUCAACU
rnacentral:lncRNA from 1 species